AGUGGAUGGGGAGCAACCUAGUUGUGCGUGUGUAAAGGUAGUGCCAAGAAAAGCGAUGAUCAUGUUGAAAAUCAAUUCCCGGUACCCGAAACCGACACAGGUGGGCAAGUAGAGAAUACUAAGGGGCGCGAGGUAACUCUCUCCAAGGAACUCGGCAAAAUGACCCCGUAACUUAGGGAGAAGGGGUGCCACCGAGAGGUGGUCGCAGUGAAGAGGCCCAGGCGACUGUUUAGCAAAAACAUAGGUCUCUGCAAACUCGAAAGAGGAGGUAUAGGGGCUGACGCCUGCCCAGUGCCGGAAGGUUAAAGAAGUUGGUCAGUUUUAGGAUGAAGCUAGCGACUGAAGCCCCGGUGAACGGCGGCCGUAACUAUAACGGUCCUAAGGUAGCGAAAUUCCUUGUCGGGUAAGUUCCGACCCGCACGAAAGGCGUAACGAUCUGGGCGCUGUCUCGGAGAGAGGCUCGGCGAAAUAGGAUUGUCUGUGAAGAUACGGACUACCUGCAUUUGGACAGAAAGACCCUAUGAAGCUUUACUAUAGCUUGGAAUUGUGUUCGGGCUUCCUGUGCGCAGGAUAGGUGGGAGGCGUAGAAGGUAUUCUUGUGGGGAUACUGGAGCCAACGGUGAGAUACCACUCUCAGGAGGCUAGAAUUCUAACUUAAUUAAGGACAGUUUCAGGUGGGUAGUUUGACUGGGGCGGUCGCCUCCAAAAAGGUAACGGAGGCGUACAAAGGUUCCCUCAGACUGGUUGGAAAUCAGUCGAAGAGUGCAAAGGCAGAAGGGAGCUUGACUGCGAGAAGUACAGUUCGAGCAGGGUGGAAACACGGUCUUAGUGAUCCGACGGUGCUGUGUGGAAGGGCCGUCGCUCAACGGAUAAAAGUUACUCUAGGAUAACAGGCUGAUCUUCCCCAAGAGUUCACAUCGACGGGGAGGUUUGGCACCUCGAUGUCGGCUCAUCGCAACCUGGGGCGGAAGUACGUCCCAAGGGUUGGGCUGUUCGCCCAUUAAAGCGGUACGUGAGCUGGGUUCAGAACGUCGUGAGACAGUUCGGUCCAUAUCCGAUGUAGGCGUGAGAAUAUUGAGAGGAGCCUUCCUUAGUACGAGAGGACCGGGAAGGACGCACCGCUGGUGUACCUGUUAUGAUGCCAAUUGUAAACGCAGGGUAGCCAAGUGCGGAGAGGAUAACCGCUGAAAGCAUCUAAGUGGGAAGCCCACCUCAAGAUGAGUAUUCUGGUGUAAGGUCACGGGAAGACGACCCGUAAAUAGGCACGAGGUGGAAGUGCAGAGAUGUAUGAAGCCGAAGUGUACUAAUAGACCGUCGGCUUGACC
rnacentral:rRNA from 1 species